UACGUAGGGUGCGAGCGUUGUCCGGAAUUAUUGGGCGUAAAGAGCUUGUAGGCGGUUUGUCGCGUCUGCUGUGAAAUCUCAAGGCUCAACCUUGAGCUUGCAGUGGGUACGGGCAGACUAGAGUGUGGUAGGGGAGACUGGAAUUCCUGGUGUAGCGGUGAAAUGCGCAGAUAUCAGGAGGAACACCGGUGGCGAAGGCGACUACCUGGACCAGCACUGACACUGAGGCACGAAAGCCGUGGGGAGCAAACAGG
rnacentral:rRNA from 1 species